ACGGGUGAGUAAUAUAUCGGAACGUGCCCUGGAGUGGGGGAUAACUAGUCGAAAGACUAGCUAAUACCGCAUACGAUCUACGGAUGAAAGUGGGGGAUCGCAAGACCUCAUGCUCGUGGAGCGGCCGAUAUCUGAUUAGCUAGUUGGUGGGGUAAAAGCCUACCAAGGCGACGAUCAGUAGCUGGUCUGAGAGGACGGCCAGCCACACUGGGACUGAGACACGGCCCAGACUCCUACGGGAGGCAGCAGUGGGGAAUUUUGGACAAUGGGGGCAACCCUGAUCCAGCAAUGCCGCGUGUGUGAAGAAGGCCUUCGGGUUGUAAAGCACUUUUGUCAGGAACGAAACGGUUGGGGCUAAUAUCCCUGGCUAAUGACGGUACCUGAAGAAUAAGCACCGGCUAACUACGUGCCAGCAGCCGCGGUAAUACGUAGGGUGCAAGCGUUAAUCGGAAUUACUGGGCGUAAAGCGUGCGCAGGCGGUUGUGCAAGACAGAUGUGAAGUCCCCGGGCUUAACCUGGGAAUUGCAUUUGUGACUGCACGGCUAGAGUGUGUCAGAGGGGGGUAGAAUUCCACGUGUAGCAGUG
rnacentral:rRNA from 1 species